GCCGAUCAUGUAGAAUUCGCCGUCGUCCUCCAGCUGGAACUUGACGGGCUUCUGCCCGAAGGUCUUGCUCAGUGCCAUCAUCAUCAUUGCGGCGGCGGAGGCGAGCGGCCGGAGCCGAGAUGUGAAGGAUCAGAUAGGCUGGGGAUGUUUCCCAAGUCUUGUGCGGAUGAAGGCUUCUCACGGACGGAAAUAGCCACUGAGGGCCUGAGUCAGGCGGUGGCUUUCCCAGUCUCACAGCCAGGACUGGCAUUCAGCCCAGGGGUGAAGAAAGGAAGUGAGGCCUGAAGACCCGGAGGAAGAUAGAGCUACAUCUGGAAACCUGAGAGGCCCUCAUGUUUUGUGAUCCCAGGCCGGAACCUCGGUUUCCGCAUCCAGAAACACAGUGCAGCUAAGCAGAUAAGAAGGAUUAUAGGAAUAGAUAUCCCAGUUCAUA